ensembl:lncRNA
CAGCCUGCCAUCAUAGGGUCAGGGGAAGGCUGUUGAUACAACGAGGGAGACCACCUGGUCCCCUCUGUUCCCCUCUGUCCCCUCUUCCCAAUUGCUUUUCUUAUCUCACACGAGGAGAUAGAGGAGGAGGGGAGCGGAGAAAAGCCAGAAUCCUUGACCAGGUUUGGGAGCCUGGGCUGGACUGGCCUGGACUGGGUGGCCUUUCAGAGAAGUCUCGGGUCCUCAGUAGGUCAGUGGGCAGCGCCUCCAGACGUAAGACAAGGCUGUCCGGUUGUGGGGGGAGGGUAUGCCCUGUGGCCCCUCCCCCAUCACCUUUUUGAAGGUUUUUUCCACUGCCUGCUUUUCCUCUGCCCCCAGAGCCCCUUCCCCUCAUGGCUUCACCUUCCCAAUCCUGUGCACGGGCUGCCCCGAGGCUGGCCUCUCUUUUCUCUUGGCCUCUUUGCCUCCUUUCUCCCCACACCUGAACAUGGCCAUGACAUCUUGGCCCCUUCUCCAGGACAGUGUCCUGUGACUCUUGGAUGCCACAAGAAGCACUUUCUAAGCAAGUUCCACAUGCCCAGGCCUGGGAACAGAUGCCAAGCAGGGCCCGAGAGUGUGGCCUGGGCAGCACCAAAGUGUGGUUUUGAGGAGCAGUCCUGGGUGCUCCCCCUCUCCACUCUCUUGCCUGAUGCAGGAAACAGCUCCAAGACUGCUCCAAACUUGGAAAUCUUGGUGGAGAAUUCCACCCUCAAUGCUGUGCCCAGCCUCAACGGCCACCCCUUGCAGCUAGAGAGGUGCAGGGAGUAUUUGCAUUCUGGAGUCGCUGUGCUGUUGGCAGUCUCCUUGGGAUGGGGCAUUCCCCUGGGGCUUUGGGGAUGCACGUCUUUGGGCACUGCCCUGGAGCUGGAAAGGAUGGCUUUGGAGAAAGAAGUGGCAGUGUCCUGAGCAACAGGAAACGCGGCACUGGAGGGUUGGUAAGGCCAGUGGUUGGGUGGGCAGCCUCCUGCCCUCUACAGAGCCAUACUCACCUCCCCAUCUCCAGAGCUCCCUGUCCGUGACAGACGUGAAGCUGGAAGGAGCUGGUGGCUUUCAGAGUCCGGGAGCUACGCAGCAGCUCAGCCACCAGAUGACAACUGGAGAUUCAGAAAGAGUUGUGCCAGGCUGGCUGGGUGCAGGAGCCCCUUCCUCAUGGUGAGCCAGGCCAAACUUGGGGGCUGGGGGCUUCAGUGAGUCCCCCAUGACCUAACCUGGGCCUUCUGACAUAGGGGAUUCAUCCCAGAGGGUCUGUGUCCACUCUGGGACCCCCACACCCCUGACACUGACUUCCAGAAAGUGGAAGACAACCAUGGAAGGAAUAGCUGCACAUUUCACCUCUCCUCUUUCCUCCUUUGAAAAUGGGUAGUCAUUGACCAGGCUCAUUACAGAGGGUUUUACACCCAGCAGACAGGAAUCCCUUCUGGGAGCUUUCUGGGAGGGAGUUGGUCCUGUGUCAAGUGCUUGAGAUCAAAUCCCAGCUCUGCCGCUUGUCGCUGUGUGAGCCUGGGCCAGUACCGAACCUCUCUGAGCUUUAGCUUCCUGCUGUCUCUUAACCAUGACACCAUCUUGAAAUGAGAAUCACCAGUAAAUCUGAG